rnacentral:snRNA from 1 species
GGAUGUGAAGGAUGUAAAAGCUGUGACAUUUCCCAACCCAUUGAUAAUCAAAAUUGUUAGGACUGAUCUAGCUACAGUAGCUUGGCAAGUGUCCCCUUCCCCACUUACUAUACUAUGUGAAUCCUUUCUGAAUUUUUAUGUUUAGUGGAAGAAGACACCAUUCCAGAUAAAAAAAAAUAGAUUGCUAUUUGGUCAAGAAUUUAGAAUAGCUUCUAAGUCUUUUAAGUUUUGCGGUCUUCUGGAAGGACUUUUUUCGAUGGUGAUGUAUGUCAUUUCAUUUGUGAAA